CCGGAUUCCUAUGGGUUUUGGUUUGGGUUUCUGCUACUUCUAGUACUCCCGAACAAAGUCGGCAGAUAUCCAUUCAUGAGUUGAGGUAUAUACAGAACAAGGGGCAGAUCCACACUGUAGUUGAGGGUAGAUCAAAGAUAAGCAAAGGGAUCCCUCCUUUCAGGCGUUUACUCUCCAAACUACCGACAUGGUCUACACUGUAGUUGAGGGUAAAUCAAAGACAAGCAAAGGGAUCCCUCCUUUCAGGCGUUUACUCUCCAAACUACCGACAUGGUCUAUAAUUGUUGCAAAUGCCAUGCAUAGCUGGG
rnacentral:lncRNA from 1 species